rnacentral:rRNA from 1 species
ACGAACGCUGGCGGCGUGCCUAAUACCUGCAAGUCGAACGCACUCUCGUUUAGAUUGAAGGAGUUUGCUCCUGAUUGAUAAACAUUUGAGUGAGUGGCGGACGGGUGAGUAACACGUGGGUAACCUGCCCUAAAGUGGGGGAUAACAUUUGGAAACAGAUGCUAAUACCGCAUAAAACCUAACACCGCAUGGUGUAGGGUUGAAAGAUGGUUUCGGCUAUCACUUUAGGAUGGACCCGCGGUGCAUUAGUUAGUUGGUGAGGUAAAGGCUCACCAAGACCGUGAUGCAUAGCCGACCUGAGAGGGUAAUCGGCCACACUGGGACUGAGACACGGCCCAGACUCCUACGGGAGGCAGCAGUAGGGAAUCUUCCACAAUGGACGAAAGUCUGAUGGAGCAACGCCGCGUGAGUGAAGAAGGUUUUCGGAUCGUAAAACUCUGUUGUUGGAGCAGAAUGUAUCUGAUAGUAACUGAUCAGGUAGUGACGGUAUCCAACCAGAAAGCCACGGCUAACUACGUG